UUUUUCAGAAUUAAAUACCAAAUGUUUACAUUCGUUUAAAAAGAAAAACGUUUUUAAACUUUUUAAAAAUGCAUUAUGGGCCCAUCCCGGGCCUGGUUCUGAUCAGGGUCGCGCAGUUUUCGCUUGAUGUACAGCUGCAAAACGAAAGGUCCAAUUCAAUCCGUUUCCUUUUUCUGCUCAGUCGAAUUUCACAGUCCAUUCAUUCAGAUUGUGGUGUAUUAUAUUUGCAUGGAACUGUGAAUCUGACUGUAUUGGGUUGAAAUAUAUGAGGAUGAACUGGACUGGACAGUUUAAUGUGAUUGCAUAUGUUAAGAUGAAGUAUUUUGAGAUUUCCUUAACUUAAAGGUGAUAAAAAAAUAAAAAUAAAAAAAAACUACCACUGUAAUUUAACGUCUGGUCCAAUGGUUUACUGUAAGGUUUUUAUUUACAUUUUGCACAGCAUGAGCAGGGUCGUAUAAAUUAUUUCUUCAUCUAGCGCCAAGAAUCAUAAACAAGAAUAUGUCAAACAGUUCUGUAUGCAUGCGGAAUGAGUAUUUUAUUCAUAACCAGUUUAUAAAAAUAAAAUACAAAAUAAUUCUAAAAUAAAAACAAAAUUAAAGAAACACUGUACAAGGCAUUUAUAUGAUACAAAUAAAAUAUCAAACAUAAAUAAUUACAGGUAUAUACAAUGCAAAACUCCCACUUGUUACAUUCCUUCCUUGAAGCUGCACAGUGACAUUUAAAAAACAAUGGCAUAUGCUACAGCAAAGAAAAAAUAUUAAACAUAAAAAAAAAGAAAAAUCAUGAUUUUUGAAUUUAAAAUAAAGUUGAGGCUAAUGUCACAAUAAAUAAAUUCAAGUCAAGCAUUUCUAGGUCAUUGACAAGUAUUCUAAUGUGGCAUGAACAGUGUUUUUUUAAUUUUAUCUCAUUUUUCGAAGAAGAAAACAAAAACCAGAACAGGUCAGUUUGUUCUUUCGGUCUGUGUGUAGAAGGAACCACUAACACAAAAAAAAGAAAAAAAGAAAAAAAAGACACCGUUCUACCUGCGAGUCACUUUCAAAAGUGACAAAGGAAAUCUAACUUGGACAGAAACACUAACACUACGACUACACACACCACUUCUGUGCAUUAAUAAGAAAAACCAUGACGAAAUCUGAUUAUCAUAGAAAACCAGCAGCAUUGUUUACCACCUGUUCCUUCCUCUCAUUGAAGCAUAUAAGUUAUUGGUUUUUUUGGGAUUUUUU